CCCUUAGAUGUUCUGGGCCGCACGCGUGCUACACUGAGUGGAUCAGCGGGUCAGGUUGCUCGAAAGCGUUUCCUAAUCUUUAAAUCCGCUCGUGAUGGGGAUUGACGGUUGCAAUUUUCUGUCAUGAACGAGGAAUACCUUGUAAGCGCGGGUCAGCAUCCCGCGCUGAAUACGUCCCUGCCCUUUGUACACACCGCCCGUCGCUCCUACCGAUUGAGUGGUCCGGUGAGGCUUUGGGAUCUGAGCGGAAAGAGCGUUUCGCUGUUUCUGCUCGGAAAACUCAGUCGAACCUUAUCAUUUAGAGGAAGGAGAAGUCGUAACA
rnacentral:rRNA from 1 species